rnacentral:rRNA from 1 species
GGGGAUUUUGGUUGUAGCUGGCUCAUGAAUUGGGCAUGUGCACACCUAUCUCUUUCAUCCACACACACCUGUGCACUUGUGAGGCAGAUGGGGAAUUUUAUUGAUUGUUUUUUAAGAACAAUUGGUGCUGGCCCCUCUGUCUACUCAAUAUAUAAACUCAAUUUAUUUAGAAAUGAAUGUAAUGGAUGUAACGCAUCUAAUACUAAGUUUCAACAACGGAUCUCUUGGCUCUCGCAUCGAUGAAGAACGCAGCGAAAUGCGAUAAGUAAUGUGAAUUGCAGAAUUCAGUGAAUCAUCGAAUCUUUGAACGCACCUUGCGCUCCUUGGUAUUCCUUGGAGCAUGCCUGUUUGAGUAUCAUGAAAUCUUCAAAGUAAAUCUUUUGUUAACUCAAUUGGUCCUACUUUGGUAUUGGAGGUCUUUGCAGCUUCACACCUGCUCCUCUUUGUUCAUUAGCUGGAUCUCAGUGUUAUGCUUGGUUCCACUCAGCGUGAUAAGUUAUCUAUCGCUGAGGACACUGUAACAGGUGGCCAAGGGAAAUGCAGAUGAACCGCUUCUAAUAGUCCAUUGACUUGGACACUAUUUUUAUGAUCUGUCUCAAACAGGGAGGACCAACCGGCUGACCUAAG